rnacentral:rRNA from 1 species
UACGUAGGGGGCAAGCGUUGUCCGGAUUUAUUGGGCGUAAAGAGCGUGUAGGCGGCUUUACAGGUCCGUUGUGAAAACUCGAGGCUCAACCUCGAGACGCCGGUGGAAACCGUAAAGCUAGAGUCCGGAAGAGGAGAGUGGAAUUCCUGGUGUAGCGGUGAAAUGCGCAGAUAUCAGGAAGAACACCGAUGGCGAAGGCAGCCCCCUGGGCUAACACUGACGCUCAUGCACGAAAGCGUGGGGAGCAAACAGG